AUGGCUCAGGACGAACGCUGGCGGCGUGCUUAACACAUGCAAGUCGAGCGAUGAAGCUUCUUCGGAAGUGGAUUAGCGGCGGACGGGUGAGUAACACGUGGGUAACUUGCCUCAUAGAGGGGAAUAGCCUUCCGAAAGGAAGAUUAAUACCGCAUAAGAUUGUAAUAUCGCAUGAUAUAGCAAUUAAAGGAGUAAUCCGCUAUGAGAUGGACCCGCGUCGCAUUAGCUAGUUGGUGAGGUAACGGCUCACCAAGGCGACGAUGCGUAGCCGACCUGAGAGGGUGAUCGGCCACAUUGGGACUGAGACACGGCCCAGACUCCUACGGGAGGCAGCAGUGGGGAAUAUUGCACAAUGGGGGAAACCCUGAUGCAAGCAACGCCGCGUGAGUGAUGACGGUCUUCGGAUUGUAAAGCUCUGUCUUCAGGGACGAUAAUGACGGUACCUGAGGAGGAAGCCACGGCUAACUACGUGCCAGCCGCCGC
rnacentral:rRNA from 1 species